rnacentral:rRNA from 1 species
UGUGUCCUACGGGGGGCAGCAGUUAGGAAUAUUCGUCAAUGGGGGAAACCCUGAACGAGCAAUGCCGCGUGAACGAUGACGGUCCUCUGGAUUGUAAAGUUCUGUUGUUUGGGAAGAACGGCUCUAAUAGGAAAUGAUUAGAGAUUGACUGUACCAUUCAAGAAAGCCACGGCUAACUACGUGCCAGCAGCCGCGGUAAUACGUAGGGGGCAAGCGUUAUCCGGAAUUACUGGGUGUAAAGGGUGAGUAGGCGGCAUGGUAAGCCAGAUGUGAAAGCCUUGGGCUUAACCCGAGGAUUGCAUUUG